rnacentral:lncRNA from 1 species
UUGAGAAGGGCUUGGGGGGCCACGCAGGGGGGCAGGAAGCUGCCUGGGGCCAGAGACCCCUUCAGAGGACCUGGCCAGGCCCUAGACUUCUAGAGCUGAAGGGUGGACCCAAAGAUGAAUUUGCUUCUUGUGUCCUGGGUCCCCUGAUAGAGACUGUAUGAGAAGCCAACAGGAGGAGGGUGCCUCUCCCCAGCCCCAGGCUCUCACAGCCACUUGGACGGCAGUUGUCCCUCCCUCCGUCCCUCCCCUUCCCUCCCUCCCCUCCCUGUGGGUCCCCCACAUUUCUGUCUCUGCUCCCACUGCAGGCUGUUUUGUUCCUCCCUGACUCUGUCACCCUCCUCUGCUUCUCUGUCACAGUCUCUCUCCCUUCCCUCAGUCUCUGUCCUUCUGUCUGAGCCGAGGUUCUCUGGGCUUCCAGAGGCAGAUGAUGGUCUCCAGCUCUUCAGACAGUGGCUGCUUUCAUUCCAUUUCCUGGCCCCUGUCUGGGAACAAUGAAGAAGAAUCACGCAGGCACCAGGUCAGUGUCGUGGGGCUUUAGGGCCAGAUCAGGCACCCCAGCCCCUGAGCUCCCAGUGGAGUCUUACUAGAGUUGCAAACAUUUUUUAGUUUGCCAAGUAAGGACAUUUAAAAAAAAUAGUCCCUUAUUCUCACCACCGUUUUACAAAAGAAGUAAUAAAAUCUUAACUACAAAAAAUAAAUAGAAAGGAUGUUUGGAAUAAAAGAUAUUGUGACCAAGAAAGGAAUGCUGGCAACUUGGCUGAUACAUCUGGUUGAUUUCAUAUCUAUAAAUCAGUGUUGCUGUUUUUGCCUCUUUAUUGCUGACUACUGAACAUUUUAUCACUAUCAGCCCUGCCAGGGAGCUGGCCAUCGGGAGGCACUAAUAGAGGGACUUGUGUGGUAGAGCAAGGCCUGAGGAAAUGGAGGAGGCAGAGGCCACGCCAGGAAGGACUUUGCACUCACUCUCAGAGUGUGGAUUUUAUCCCCAAGGUGAUGAGACACCGGGGCAGGGCGCUAAGUGAACAGAAGCUGUGGUCAGAUUGGAGCAUCCUCAGAGCCAUGUAUAAAAAUGGACUAGCUCUCUCCCUCUCCCUCUCCCUCUCCCUCUCCCUCCCUCUCCCUCUCCCUCUCCCCACGGUCUCCCUCUCCCUCUCUCCACGGUCUCCCUCUGAUGCCGAGCUGAAGCUGGACGGUACUGCUGCCUGAUUCUCCUGCCUCAGCCUGCCGACUGCCUGCGAUUGCAGGUGCGCGCCGCCACACCUGACUGGUUUUCGUAUUUUUUUGGUGGAGACGGGGUUUUGCUGUGUUGGCCGGGCUGGUCUCCAGCUCCUAACCGCGAGUGAUCCGCCAGCCUCGGCAUCCUGAGGUGCCGGGAUUGCAGACGGAGUCUCGUUCACUCCGUGCUCAAUGGUGCCCAGGCUGGAGUGCAGUGGCGUGAUCUCGGCUCGCUACAACCUUCACCUCCCAGCAGCCUGCCUUGGCCUCCCAAAGUGCCGAGAUUGCAGCCUCUGCCCGGCCGCCACCCCGUCUGGGAAGUGAGGAGCGUCUCUGCCCAGCCGCCCAUCGUCUGGGACGUGAGGAGCGUCUCUGCCUGGCCGCCAUCCCAUCUAGGAAGUGAGGAGCGCCUCUUCCCUGCAGCCAUCCCAUCUGGGAAGUGAGGAGCGUCUCUGCCCGGCCGCCCAUCGUCUGAGAUGUGGGGAGCACCUCUGCCCUGCCGCCCCGUCCGGGAUGUGAGGAGCGUCUCUGCCCGGCCGCCCCCUCUGAGAAGUGAGGAGACCCUCCGCCCGGCAACCGCCCCGUCUGAGAAGUGAGGAGCCCAUCCGUCCAGAAGCCACCCCGUCUGGGAAGUGAGGAGCGUCUCUGCCCGGCAGCCACCUCGUCCGGCAGGGAGGUGGGGGGGUCAGCCCCCCGCCCGGCCAGCCUCCCCGUCCGGGAGGGAGGUGGGGGGAUCAGCCCCCUGCCCGGCCAGCCGCCCUGUCCGGGAGGUGAGGGGCGCCUCUGCCCGGCCGCCCCUACUGGGAAGUGAGGAGCCCCUCUGCCUGGCCGGCCGCCCCGUCCGGGAGGGAGGUGGGGGGGUCAGCCCCCCGCCCGGCCAGCCGCCCCGUCCGGGAGGUGAGGGGCGCCUCUGCCCGGCCGCCCCUACUGGGAAGUGAGGAGCCCCUCUGCCCGGCCACCACCCGGUCUGGGAGGUGUACCCAACAGCUCAUUGAGAACGGGCCAUGAUGACAAUGGCGGUUUUGUGGAAUAGAAAGGGGGGAAGGGUGGGGAAAAGAUUGAGAAAUCGGAUGGUUGCCGUGUCUGUGUAGAAAGAGGUAGACGUGGGAGACUUUUCAUUUUGUUCUGUACUAAGAAAAAUUCUUCUGCCUUGGGAUCCUGUUGAUCUGUGACCUUACCCCCAACCCUGUGCUCUCU